UUUCCGUAGGUGAACCUGCGGAAGGAUCAUUGUCGAAACCUGCCUAGCAGAACGACCCGCGAACCUGUCUUAACAUCGGGGGCGUGCGGGACUCGUGCCCGUGCGCUCCCACACGUGCUGCGCUGGGCGUCGGUCGUACGUUUCUACGUGCGUCCGCUCCCACGCUGCGCAUUAACGAACCCCGGCGCGAAUUGCGCCAAGGAAAUCUUAACGAGAGAGCUCGUUCCCGUCGCCCCGGACACGGUGUGCGUGCGGGAUGUGUGGCCUUCUUUCAUUAUCUAUAACGACUCUCGGCAACGGAUAUCUCGGCUCUCGCAUCGAUGAAGAACGCAGC
rnacentral:misc_RNA from 1 species